UGGGAAUUUGGACGAAUGGGCGAAAGCCUGAUCCAGCAACGCCGCGUGUGUGAAGAAGGCCUUCGGGUUGUAAAGCACUUUUGUCCGGAAAGAAAUCCUUGGCUCUAAUACAGUCGGGGGAUGACGGUACCGGAAGAAUAAGCACCGGCUAACUACGUGCCAGCAGCCGCGGUAAUACGUAGGGUGCAAGCGUUAAUCGGAAUUACUGGGCGUAAAGCGUGCGCAGGCGGUUUGCUAAGACCGAUGUGAAAUCCCCGGGCUCAACCUGGGAACUGCAUUGGUGACUGGCAGGCUAGAGUAUGGCAGAGGGGGGUAGAAUUCCACGUGUAGCAGUGAAAUGCGUAGAGAUGUGGAGGAAUACCGAUGGCGAAGGCAGCCCCCUGGGCCAAUACUGACGCUCAUGCACGAAAGCGUGGGGAGCAAACAGGAUUAGAUACCCUGGUAGUCCACGCCCUAAACGAUGUCAACUAGUUGUUGGGGAUUCAUUUCCUUAGUAACGUAGCUAACGCGUGAAGUUGACCGCCUGGGGAGUACGGUCGCAAGAUUAAAACUCAAAUGAAUUGACGGGGUCAUAGCUGUUUCCU
rnacentral:rRNA from 1 species